UACGUAGGGGGCGAGCGUUGUCCGGAUUUAUUGGGCGUAAAGAGCGUGUAGGCGGCCAGGUAGGUCUGCUGUGAAAACUCGAGGCUCAACCUCGAGACGUCGGCGGAAACCAUCUGGCUAGAGUCCGGAAGAGGAGAGUGGAAUUCCUGGUGUAGCGGUGAAAUGCGCAGAUAUCAGGAAGAACACCCGUGGCGAAGGCGGCUCUCUGGGACGGUACUGACGCUGAGACGCGAAAGCGUGGGGAGCGAAACAGG
rnacentral:rRNA from 1 species